GCCAUCAUCCUGCUACCUAUGAGCCUUGUAGCAGCCCUGAGGUUCACGCUUGGCUGCGGGGGAUGGAGCUUCCUGUGGCACCUCUGCUGAAACCCGAAGGCUGAAAAGGUAUUCCUGUCGUCUAGCACAUUAACAGCAAACGCCAAACACCGAGCAUUUGUCUGUUUUGAAAUGAGGGCUCUUUUGUUGAACCUAUGUGGUGAACAGAUGAGCUUAACCUGGUCUGUUAGGCAGUUCUUAAAACCUCUGAUGACUUGGUCUAUGCACAUCAACCCUUGGACUUGGCCUGUAGACUCUGGGUCCUCCAGCUCAGCAUAAUAGAGUGUCCAUGCUCAUGACGACUCAUGCUUACAUGCCUACCCUGGUAGUAGUGUAGCAGCUACUGUGGCCUCUUUGUUGAAGGUUACAACCAUAAAAGGCAUUUUAAAACGAGUGAAAAUCUGUUCUUUGCAGGCCCAGUUCUGGGGCUCAUUUCAGUUCUGACAGAAUCCAUCCCUCAAAAGCAGACAUACAGUGGAAGAAAUGAGUCACGGUCAUUAACAAUGGACUGACACUCUGAAGCAGAGUUUCUCACCGUCAGCAUUAUUUGGCAUUUGGGCCAGGAAUUGAGUUGCCCCAGGAUGUCUUGUGCACUCUAGGAUGUCUGGCAAUAUUUCUAAACUGUGGUCACUAGACACCUGACUACCGUCUGCAUUCAUGACCAUCAGAAAAGUGUCCUGACGUGGCCAAACGUCCCACAAAGAGCAACGUCACCCUCCGUUGAGAAGCACUGGUCUAAAUUAUGGUCCAUUCACUGGUUCACUCUCCAAAGGGUGGCAAUGGCAUAGCUGAGCUGCUCUGAAGCUGGAAGCCAUGAGAUUCUUCCAAGGCUCCACACGGGGGCAGGGCCCCAAGGCGCUGGACUAUUGUCUGCCACUCUCCCAGAUAUAAGUAGCGAGUUGAAUGGGAAGUAAAGCAACCAGGACACAAACUGCUGCCCAAAUGGAAUGCUGACACCACAGGCAUAUACAUUCUAGGUGAACUUGAAGACUUCUGAAAGAAUUUGCAUGUUGCAGUAUAAACAGAACCUCAAUAUGUGGACAAUUUCAUAAAGCAGAGGACUGUCACAAGCUGAGAGAGGAUGAGAACAUCAAGACACCAAGAGGUUCGCAAAUGGUCUAAAAUCAUACAUCUAAUAAAUGGUAAGGGACAGAACUUUUUUGGGAAAAGUUGGCAUCAGUAAGGCUUGUUGGCUGUUAGUAUAAACCACUCUUUUCAAAGUUAAUCUGUCAAUGUUAAAUUUCAUAACAGA